CACACAUUUUUCAGCUGUUGUAUACAUAUUUAGGUGGGUUGUAUCUUAUGAUCUCUAUCUACAUAUGUUAGAACAGUGUGCAGCUGUUUGUCAUGGUUGGUACUUGUGUGCCAGAGAUCUCGAGUUAUGGCAUCCAGCAUGCUUCAAGUUUUUUUCCAAUGGCUAUGUUUUGAUAGUGCUUUCCUUCAAUCCUUCUGUUAAAGACAAGAAAAAUGGCACCUUUCAAUGUGUCCCUUGGACACUAAAGAUUGUCUGGUAAACAAUUAUUUUUGAUUCUUGACAUGGAAGAUAAUAAACCUGAUCGAUAAUUUAACAGAAAAUAUGCCUGGGAUGAAUACACCGGAAGGAUCAUUAUUUUAUAACAUGGUUUUAGAAACUUCAAAAUACAAAUCCAAACAGAACUGGAAAUUGUAAUGUGUAAAUUAUGAAAUUGUUUAUCAAAGCCGAGUUAACAAAAGAAAGGUUAAAAUAUGAUUUAACUAAUAAUCGUUUUCCACCAAUUCACGUGUAAAAUGCUACUCAAAUGAAUAUGAACGUGUACUAUAAGUAUAAAAUAAUAAUCUCCACCAUUCAUUCGAGACUGUUUAAAAUAUUUUAUAUGUAUAACAUAAUUUUGUAGAUAAAUAUAUUUUAGUUGGUAGAUUAGAUAGGCUUAAUUAAAUUUCUCAUACAUAGACUUUGUGGGUGAAAAUUCAAUACAACAUUUAGUCUUUGAUGUAAAAGUACUUCUAAUUCUCAAUAGACUAUCCAACAUAGAAAAGUUCAUUCUAUUUCUAGAUCGGGUUUUAAUAGCAUUCAUUAUUGAAAAUACCCUUUCAACAACGGCAUUGCUUGAAGAUAGACAUAAUACUUUCAGUACAAACUCAGAUAGAUCUCUAAAAAUGAAUGAUCCACAAGCAUCUUUAAAAAAAUAUAGCAUAGACCAGAACGCAUAACUAUCAUCUAACUCUUCUUCAGAUAAAUGAAAAGACCAAUUAAUAUUUAUGAUGUUUUCCCAUUGUACUUCUAAAGAUGAAAACAUAGAUGGUUCAAGAAAUUGAUGAAUAAAUGGUAAAUUGGAAAAUUUUGUAUGUAAUUGAUUGAGGCAUUGUUUUGGAGAAAAAUACUGAAGUUUUUGAAAUAAUUUUAAAUUAUCUGGAAGUCUUUUGUCUAAUUCAAAUAAUAAAGCUUUUAUAAAUGACAGUGCUUUAAUAUCAACAACAUAUUUAGUAUCCGAUACAAUUUUAAGUGUAUUUAUUACUUGAUAGUACUGUAUACCAAAGUUACAUUUAUCUGCUGGAAGAUAAGCAGUUUCAUUAGAUAUGUUUUGUCUAAUACUGUUAAAAUCCGAGGAAGUGGAAGAUAUUUUCAUUAUUUUUUUUGCUAAAAACAUAAAUAGUCCACAUAUAUCAUCAUACGAUUUUCCAAUGUCAACAAAGUUUUUUUGAAAUGUUAAAUUCAACCUAUUAAACUCUUCUAAUAUUGGCUUUAUUAUUAUAAAAUAUAAAUAAUUAAUGUCAUCGUGAAACAUUUCAUUCAAAACUCGAUUUACCAUCGCCAUCACGACCCCAUGUUAGUCCGCCGAGUCAACAAAGUAAAGGUUAAAAUACGAUUUAACUAAUAAUCGUUUUCCACCAUUUAUAUUUUCACGCGUAUAAUGCUACUCACAUGGAUAUGAAUGUGUAAUAGAAGUAUAAAAUAAUAAUCUCAACCAUACGUUCAAGAUUGUUUAAAAUAUUUAUGUUUACUAUCGUUUAAUAUAUUAUGUAUUAUUAUUUACUGUAUAUGUACUGUGUUUAAAUUAUAAAUUAAGAGUGUAAAUUAAAUUAAAAUUCUGUACUAAUCGGUGGCCUGUUAUUUCACAAAACUGUGUGUAAUUAAUAUUUUAUUUUAUAAAAAUGUAAGUACUUAGCAUGUUUUAAUUAUAGUACAGCAUAACCUAAACAACGUCUUCUAACAUACGGAAACAGUUUUUCUGGUUGAUUAUAGUUAAUUAUUAGCCACAAUUUUUUACCACUUUCAAUAUAUUAUGUGUUUUCGUGGCGGUAAUGGAAGCAAACAGUUUGCUGGCUGUUUAUUGAUCUAACAUAAUAUGAAGUCAAAAAUAUUUUACUAAUGAUUUAAAUAUUUUAAUGCAAUUUGUUGCAUUACCAAAUAUGCAACAUUAUAUUUUGUAAUAUUUAAAUGCAAUAAACAAUUUUCUAACACUUUGAAUUUUGAUAAUACACAGU